rnacentral:rRNA from 1 species
UACGAAGGGGGCUAGCGUUGUUCGGAAUCACUGGGCGUAAAGCGCACGUAGGCGGAUGUGCCAGUCAGGGGUGAAAUCCCGGAGCUCAACUCCGGAACUGCCUCUGAUACAGCACGUCUUGAGUUCGAGAGAGGUGGGUGGAAUUCCUAGUGUAGAGGUGAAAUUCGUAGAUAUUAGGAAGAACACCGGUGGCGAAGGCGGCCCACUGGCUCGAUACUGACGCUGAGGUGCGAAAGCCAGGGGAGCAAACGGGG